GCCGAAUCAGCCCCCACCCCAGCAACAACCCACUGGACACCACCCCACACUCCUCUGUACAGCCACCUGGUUCCACACUACAAAGACGCAGAGGACACCGGACCACUGGACAACGGUACUGAGUCCCAUGGCUCCCAGCCCAGAGGAAAGGCCAGAGAUGGAAGCAGCCCAGGGGCCCCAUUCAGAAGACCGAUGUGAGGCUGGAGGGCUUGGUUCUCCCUGAGCAGAAGGCCUGGCAGACCUGCAUUUUGUCAGCUGUGCUCAAGGACGGAUCUAUUAUGAUGGAUGAAUGGGUAAAUAAAUGCUAAAGAGGUAAGGCCAUUUCAAGGCCAUGUAAUGUUAGAAAAAGAAAGAAAAGCAACAAACUAAUUUCUUUUUACUAAAUAAAUUCUCAUCGUGUAACAGCCAGCUCCAUUUCCUUUAAAGAGAAAACUUCUUUAUAGAAUUUGAGAUGAAACUAUUUACCAAAGGUUUGAUUAGUCUGCAGCCUCUCCGCUGCAGGAACAGACAC
rnacentral:lncRNA from 1 species